CAGGGACGAAAUGGUAAAGCAUCAUUGUGGGCUUUUCAGUUUGAAGGCCAGGCCUCACAUACAGAUGGAAUGGGAGAUCGAGAACGUCUCAGGGGACAAGGUAUAGCUGCAUAUUCAACUGCAAGGCACACCAUGGGCGGUUUUCAACAUCCUCUUGAUAUGGACAUGAGGUUGGCAGAGAGUGUUUGUGCUGAGUGGCCAAAGCAGCCGCUGAAAUACAGGAACGUUUGACUCACCGGGAUACACAAGCAAGGCAAGAGACCAGAUUUCAGUGCAAAGGAGAUACUGGUCGCCAUGGCAACCAGAACAGCAGCUGUGCGGCCAAGCGAAGCGGGAGCGAGAGGGAAUGGGAAGAGAGAGAG